rnacentral:rRNA from 1 species
UACAGAGGGUGCAAGCGUUGUUCGGAAUUAUUGGGCGUAAAGGGCGCGUAGGCGGUUUGACAAGUCUGAUGUGAAAUCUCUGGGCUCAACCCAGAGUCUGCAUUAGAAACUGUCGGGCUUGAGUAUGGGAGAGGUGAGUGGAAUUUCCGGUGUAGCGGUGAAAUGCGUAGAUAUCGGAAGGAACACCUGUGGCGAAGGCGGGUCUCUGGGCCGAUACUGACGCUGAGGAGCGAAAGCGUGGGGAGCGAACAGG